AAGUCGUAACAAGGUUUCCGUAGGUGAACCUGCGGAAGGAUCAUUACAGUAAUUAAUUCUUGCCAGCGCUUAACUGCGCGGCGAGAACUAAUCCUUACACACAUUGUUUUUUGUUAUUACAAGAACUAUUGCUUUGGCUUGGCUUCGGCUGGGCCAGAGACAUACCUAAACUUCAAUUUUAUUGAAUUGUUAUUUUUAAUGUUUCGUCAAUUUGUUUGAUUAAUUUCAAAAUAAUCUUCAAAACUUUCAACAACGGAUCUCUUGGUUCUCGCAUCGAUGAAGAACGCAGCGAAAUGCGAUAAGUAAUAUGAAUUGCAGAUUUUCGUGAAUCAUCGAAUCUUUGAACGCACAUUGCGCCCUCUGGUAUUCCGGGGGGGCAUGCCUGUUUGAGCGUCAUUUCUCUCUCACACCUUCGGGUAUGGUAUUGAGUGGUACUCUUAGUCAGACUAGGCGUUUGCUUGAAAUGUAUCGGCAUGAGUGCGCUAGAUAGUACGUUCUGAUUAUUCAAUGUAUUAGGUUUAUCCAACUCGUUGAACGGUCAGGUGUAUAUUUCUGGUUGCUUUGGCUCGGCCUUACAACAACAAACAAGUUUGACCUCAAAUCAGGUAGGAUUACCCGCUGAACUUAA
rnacentral:rRNA from 1 species